rnacentral:snRNA from 1 species
GGAUGGGAGGGCGAUCUGACUGUGACAUCUGUCACCCCAUUGAUCGCCAGGGUUGAUUCGGCUGACCUGGCUGGCUAGGCGGGUGUCCCCCUCCUCCUUCACUGCUCCAUGGGCAUCCUUUCUGAAGCUGCACACUUGGUCGAAGAGGACAACCGUCCCCACUCGAGGAGGACCGUUCUUCAGUCAAGCUGUGCUCCCCUGCUAGAACCUCUGAGCAAGCUCUCAAGGCAUGAGUCGCUGUGAAUACGCUCAAAGGUGGGACACUCCAUUU